GGGCCUGUAGCUCAGUUGGUCAGAGCGCACGACUGAUAAUCGUGAGGUCGAUGGUUCAAAUCCAUCUAGGCCCACCA
rnacentral:tRNA from 2 species